rnacentral:rRNA from 1 species
CAAUAGCGUAUAUUAAAGUUGUUGCAGUUAAAAAGCUCGUAGUUGGACCUUGGACCUGGACAGGCGGUCCGCCUCACGGCGAGUACUGUCUUGCUGGGUCUUUCCUCUUGGUGAUCUGUUGUUUCGGCAGCAGGGAACCAGGACCUUUACUUUGAAAAAAUUAGAGUGUUCAAAGCAGGCUCGACGCCGGAAUAUAUUAGCAUGGAAUAAUAAAAUAGGACGUGCGGUUCUAUUUUGUUGGUUUUUGUACCGAGGUAAUGAUUAACAGGGACAGUUGUGGGUAUUCAUAUUUGAUUGUCAGAGGUGAAAUUCUUGGAUUUAUCAAAGAUGAACAAGUGCGAAAGCAUUUACCAGGGAUGUUUUCAUUA